AUGAUUCAGGAGACAGAAGAUGAAUUCAUGCUCUUCAUUCACAUACUCAACAAACAAAUAUCAUUGAACACAUCCUGUGUGCAAAGCACUAUUUGGGACAGGGUGCCACAGCAGCAAACAACAUCUAAAAACAUGAAGCUUUAUAGCUCCACCAGGUACCACACAGCCCUACAGCAAAGUGAUCAACUCUUGAGACUGGUGAUUGACUGGAUGGAUUAAAAAUACUUGCUGAAAUGCCUCCAAAGUUAUCAAUAAAAUAAAUGAAUCAAUCA
rnacentral:lncRNA from 1 species